GAGAGCGGCGCACGGGUGCGUAACGCGUAUGCAACCUGCCUCAUACAGGGGGAUAGCCCAUGGAAACGUGGAUUAAUAUCCCAUAGUACAGCAAUUCCGCAUGGGAUUGUUGUUAAAACCGAGGUGGUAUGAGAUGGGCAUGCGUCCGAUUAGGUAGUUGGUAGGGUAACGGCCUACCAAGCCGAUGAUCGGUAGGGGUCCUGAGAGGGUUACCCCCCACACUGGUACUGAGACACGGACCAGACUCCUACGGGAGGCAGCAGUGAGGAAUAUUGGUCAAUGGGCGAGAGCCUGAACCAGCCAUCCCGCGUGCAGGAUGACGGCCCUAUGGGUUGUAAACUGCUUUUCCGCGCCAAGAAACCCCCCGACGUGUCGGGGGCUGACGGCAGCGCGGGAAUAAGCACCGGCUAACUCCGUGCCAGCAGCCGCGGUAAUACGGAGGGUGCAAGCGUUAUCCGGAUUCAUUGGGUUUAAAGGGUGCGCAGGCGGGGAAAUAAGUCAGUGGUGAAAUACUGCCGCUCAACGGUAGGGCUGCCAUUGAUACUGUUUUUCUUGAGUAUGGUUGAGGCAGGUGGAAUGUGUUGUGUAGCGGUGAAAUGCAUAGAUAUGACACAGAACGCCGAUUGCGAAGGCAACUUGCUAAGCCAUCACUGACGCUGAGGCACGAAAGCGUGGGUAGCGAACAGGAUUAGAUACCCUGGUAGUCCACGCCGUAAACGAUGUUCACUCGCUGUUUGCGAUACACAGUAAGCGGCCGAGC
rnacentral:rRNA from 1 species